rnacentral:rRNA from 1 species
CCGCACGGGUGAGUAACACGUAUGCAAUCCACCUGUAACAGGGGGAUAACCCGGAGAAAUCCGGACUAAUACCCCAUAAUAUGGGCGCUCCGCAUGGAGAGCCCAUUAAAGAGAGCAAUUUUGGUUACAGACGAGCAUGCGCUCCAUUAGCCAGUUGGCGGGGUAACGGCCCACCAAAGCGACGAUGGAUAGGGGUCCUGAGAGGAAGGUCCCCCACAUUGGAACUGAGACACGGUCCAA